rnacentral:rRNA from 1 species
AGUAAUACAUCGGAACGUACCCAGUAGUGGGGGAUAGCUCGGCGAAAGCCGGAUUAAUACCGCAUACGACCUAUGGGUGAAAGCGGGGGAUCGCAAGACCUCGCGCUAUUGGAGCGGCCGAUGUCGGAUUAGCUAGUUGGCGGGGUAAUGGCCCACCAAGGCGACGAUCGGUAGCUGGUCUGAGAGGACGACCAGCCACACUGGAACUGAGACACGGUCCAG